rnacentral:lncRNA from 1 species
CCCUGUGGACAGAGCUGUGUUGGUCAGUCAGCCAGCUCAAGGACUUUCCUUCAGUGUACAGUAAGCUAGACAGGCCAGCCAGAUCCAUUAUGGGAUCACUGCUAGGGCAGCAGACCACAGCGGUCACACCAGUUCAUGGGAACUCCUGCUCCAUUUUUCAUAGGAGGGAUAUUUCAAUGUCUACAGCCGGGUUGGGCCAAGUUCAGCCAGAGGAGGAAAGUGACGGGGAAGAUUAUCUUCGUUGCACCUCUGCCUACGCUGCAUCACUGUGUAUUUUCUCUCUGUGCGUGAGUGGAUUUCAUGGUUGAAGGUGCAAUCUGAAACAGGAUUAGCAUUACAGUAGACAUCUGACCACUGACUGACGAUCACAUGCAGCACAUGGAAGAGCAUCACAAAUCGGAUGGCUAAAGCACACCACGUCAACUGCUAUUUUAUUUAAGCGUUCUUGUUUAUUCCCAAAGCAAUAAACAUCAAUGAAACAAUGCAAGAUAUUUUAUGAAC